GUGGUGCCUAACAGGCAGGGAGUUCUGUAUCUCAGCGCAGGGUGCCCCAACCCACUUAUUACCAGUGUUACUCUUUUAGUCUCAGGAAGCAGCAGCACUUUUAACACUGCCGGAACCACAGAGACAAGACCUAUCUACUCUGCACAUUUCUGAGAAAGCAGCAGCUCCUACUUCACACAUAUAUAUCACACAAACACAUAAAUGACGUGCACCACCCCAUACAGGAGUUACCAAACAUCUUGCUUUUAUGUGAGAGAACACCACCUGUGUGACACCACCUCUAUUCCUUUUCCACAUUUCAGGCACUGGAUCUAUCUUUAUCAUGCAGUGGCUUUUACAUACAUAAUGGCUUUUGCAGGAGCAAAACCAAGAUACUGAACAGAAUACUUAAGUUCUUAUUUCAGUGAUUUUUAAUAAACUAACAAACUCCUAUACCUAUUCUCCAGAUUCUUCUCAGAGUUUCUUCUCUACUCCUUGUCAUCUCCUUUCACAACUGGAUUGUUCACGAUCCAAUCAAGAUCUUUGAAAGUUCUGAUGGGUCUUAAAUCAGCUCAUAAGGCUGUCACACGGGCCUGACAACAAAAUUAAGUUGCUCUUUUCUAGGUUCCACAAUGUCUUUCCUGUGAUAGGAAUCCUUGAGAUGAAGCUCCCAAUGCAGAACUGCACCCUCCUGUGGUUACUGGAGAAAAUAAAUUGAGCACAGAUGACUGAAAUUAUUCUGAUUCAAUUAUUUCACAAACACUUCAACUAACCAUAUUUAUCAGCCUCCUAAACUCAUAAAUCACAGCAAUCUCUGUUGGGAAAUUCAAAAUUGAUGUGGCCCCACCUGAAUCAGAGAAGGCAGUAGGCAUCUGACAGCCUUGAGGAGCAGCCUUGUGUGAGCUGAUUGGAAUUUCUACCAGUAUUAAUCUUAAUAACCUCAGGUAGCUUCCUCCCUGCAGCCUAUGUAUUUUGCACAAACAGUGAAGGAGGGAACAAUCUAACAAUUACUCCACUCAUUCUUUCCUGCUGACUCUGUUUUCUGAUAAAUACGAACAUGUCAGUCACACUCAGGCUUCAUCCAUAGCCUUUCUUAGAUUUUAGCAAUGACCAGCCCAAAACCAGCAGAAUUGAAAUUGUGGUUUAAACCCUGAGUGCAGGGCAAGAGAAAAGAAACCUGAAUACCUCCUGAUAGAGCAGCAUGAAUGCUUAAAAAAAAAAAAAGCAGCUUUUCCCUGUUUUAAAAGAAAUGCCUGCGAACUGCAGCAGAAAAUUGUACAGGAUUUCUGCAAGUUACUCCAACAAUAGACUGAAAAUAUUCAAGCAGUAUUAACAGUGAAAACAGAUGAUUAAAACAUAGAUCAGAAACAUGCAUCCAUCUAGGAAGCUGAAUCCAAGCAACUGUCACUCACAACUGACAGGGUGGUCAGAACUGUUGUUGAAGCUCUCUGAUAUUUGCUUUGCGAAGGAUUAAACAGAUCCCAUUGUGAUGAAGCUCUAAUUUGUGCUUUUGCUAACAGAUUUUCCUAUAAUAAUAUAUCUACCAGAUUUUUCCUGUUUUACCCAGAUAAAAUGAGAUACAAAACCAAAAAAAAAAAGCAAUGGCAUCAAAGUAUCUAUGGCUCCAUCUACCUACCAGCUCCUAUCAGCAGCCAUGUAUGCACCCAACGCACUUUGGUAGUUUCAAACAGAUGUGUUAUAUAGCCAAUCUCCUAAUGAUAAAGAGACAUUUUUAAUUUUAAGAAGAUAUUGUCCUGUUUGUGCUGUUAUGUCCUUAUUCUGAGGAGCAUAACCCUUUAGGAAGCAGUUUCAGGGAGUAAACUUCUGCUCAAUAUAACACAGGUGUAUAGCUGAACACAGCUGAAUUUAUUCAAGUGAGUAUUUUAUCCCACCAAUUGCAUAUUGGAAAACAGACCUUUUUCACAAUUUUUGCAUAGCCAAAUUCCAGGUAUUCUUCACUCACGCACACUCCUUUCUGUGCAUAAAAUCAAGGGAUGGUCCAUUCCUGUUUUUUUUCUCCCCAUUUUAAGCAUAAGCUCUUUUCCAUGGUCAGAAAUAAGGAAAAUUAGGCUUUGUGUUGUUUUUUUUUUUUAUUCCCUCUUCACACAUGUUCUAAGACAAGUUAUGUACCAUCAUAUACUAAAUUUAACCCAUUCUGUUUAGAAAAUAAAGCCAUCAGGGAAACUAUACAAAUUCUCAGCUGACUGUGUGCACUGUGAUACACUGAACAACCAAUCUACAACUUCCCUGCAUAGAUGCGGUAACUUCAUUUCUGAUGUAUUUGUUACUACCUUCAAUUACUGUUUAUUAGAAAAAUUGAAAUGAAAACAAACUCACAAUUUCGCUAAGAAUUUCUUCAUUCAAACAUAUUUUCCUUGCUCAACUCUUUGCGCUACUGAUCCAAAUACCAAUACCAUUCCCGUAGUUUUUCAAUUGUCCCUCUUGCCUCAGUUAUCUGCAAAUUUUUAGAAAGUGGAAGAGGUUCAGAGAAAUUGACUGCCAAGUCUAUUAUCAUCCCAGGGUUCAGCUCAUAUAGACUUGUUUGUGAUUAUAGUAUGUGGUAUCUCUGAAUUUUCCAGUGCUUCCCAUGUUCUCCUAAAUCCAUUCUGUCUUUUCCAUAGUUCCUCUUGCCAAAAUCCUAAACUCUAUGCAGAAUCAAAAUAAAUGGACAAUUUGCUGAAAAGGUACAUCAGAGGUCCUCCCUGCUCAGCCCAGCUGCUUGGCAGCUGUUGCUGUAGCUCCAGGGCAACAGCAACUCACAUAUUUGCCAUGCAUCUCCACAUGGGGAGCUUGGCUCCUGGAUUCAGGAAGACUCAUUCGUCUCUAUCUCCCGAAAGUUAUCUUCUGUGCUGGAGCAUUAAAACCGUUUAUGAAGUUGUGGCUGCAGUAGCACUAAAACAUAAGGACUCAGUACUUUCUCUAGAGCAGCUCAAGGCUUUUCUGCAGCAUGGUCAGUAAGGAAAGGAGGAUAUGCCUCAGAUAUUUUAUUAAGCACAUAUAAUUA
ensembl:lncRNA